UGAAAUUGGCUUCAGCGUUGGU
rnacentral:siRNA from 1 species